GUCACGAGUUCAACACCAAAUCUCUUCGUAAAUUUGUACAGACUGUUGUUGAUACCGAGCUUCAUGACCGUUUGAUUCCGAUACUUUCUGCUGCUGCUUCUGACCAGACCUUGCUUGACUUGCAAGAUAUUCUUCAAAGGUUCGCUUUUGAUAACGUUUGCAAGAUCGCUUUCGGGUUUGACCCCGCCUGUCUCUUGCCUUCUUUACCGCAGGCACAGUUUGCAGAAGCGUUUGAAGAUGCUGCUCACAUAAGUAGCGAAAGAUUCCGUGCUUUCCUUAAUAAAACUUGGAAAAUCAAGCGAUUUUUCAAUGUUGGAUCAGAGAAAAGACUCAAGAUUGCAGUCUCUCAAGUCCGUGAGUUGGCAAAGAAGAUUGUAAAGGAAAAGAAACAAGAACUAGCUGAUAAGUCCUCUUUGGAAUCGGUUGAUCUCUUAUCAAGGUUCUUGAGCUCAGGCCAUUCAGACGAGAAUUUCGCUACGGAUAUAGUAAUCAGCUUCAUACUUGCUGGCCGUGACACAACAUCCGCGGCUUUGACAUGGUUUUUCUGGUUACUAUACAAAAACCCUGAAGUUGAAAAAGAAAUUCUCAAAGAAAUCAAAGAGAAAUCGAAUAUGCCAGUGUUUGAGGAAGUUAAAGACAUGGUCUACACUCAUGCUUCUCUUUGCGAGAGCAUGAGACUGUACCCUCCAGUCCCGAUGGAUAGCAAACUGGCAAUGGAGGACGAUGUUUUGCCAGACGGGACGGUGGUAAAGAAAGGAACGUUAGUGACGUAUCAUCCUUACGCGAUGGGAAGGAUGGAGAAGCUAUGGGGAUCAGAUUGGGCAGAAUUCAAGCCAGAGAGAUGGCUGGAGAGAGAUGAGACAGGGAAGUGGAUCUUUGUUGGGAGAGAUCCUUAUACUUAUCCAGUGUUCCAGGCAGGACCCAGGAUUUGUCUGGGGAAGGAGAUGGCGUUCUUGCAGAUGAAAAGGAUAGUGGCUGCUGUUCUAAGGCGAUUCAAGGUGGUGCCGACGGUGGAGGAUGGGUUUCAGCCGGAGCUUCUUGUUUAUCUGACUUCUAAGAUGAAAGGUGGCCUCCCCAUCAAGGUUGAGGAAAGGGGAGAGUUUCCCUAGCUGUCGAGACCCUGUUUUGUUCGGGGCUGAAGGAGUUGUUUCUGGUCCAUCAAUGAAAUUUAGACUUUUAAUUGGGUUUAGAUUAUUGUUACAGACUAUUUAUUUUAUGUUACCUGAAGCUCGUUGCUUUCUGUUUUGUUUUGUUUUUCUUGUAAUAAAUCCUCUUCUUUCUUUUUUUAAAAAAGAAGAAAAUUGGAUGAAAGUGGCUAAGUGCUAAUCGAGUUAAAAACUGCAGGAAUGAAAUUCUUUUUUACCCAAAACCCUCUUUCCUAACGUAAACCCGAACAAAAAAGCCACAAUUCAUCAGCUAAGUACGCAAUUACCAACAAAUCCACGCAAUACAGAAAUUCAGAAUCGACAGGAACACAUCCACAAUUAUCACAAUACAGUGAACAGUCUAACAAAACUAAGGAAAUAACUCUGGCUGCGAGUUUGAGCUUGGGGCUUAGAUGUUAGGCUUUUCGGGCAAUAGUUAGUGGAGAAGUAGUUAGGAAGGUUUGUUGGAGUAGUUGGGUUCUGCCAGCGUUGACUGAAGAUAAUGGGAGCCGCUGCUGACGGCAACGAUGACGGUUGACGACAUUAGUGAUCUUUUGGGGAUCUGAAUGGUGGAAAUGAAGAGAAAAGGAAGGCAAGCAACAUUUUGAAAAAUCAGCCAGAUCAGACAGCGAGAAGGGGGUGAAACUAUGGUGGAAAGGCCACGGAUAUAGCUUCAGAUCUAGACGGUUGGAGACUUCUUUUUUUGCAUAAUCCGAGUUCAAAACGGUGAAGAGGCGGUGACGAGGAACAAUUCGGUGAUAUUUGGAGAUAAACAGACACUGACAAGCGGUGGCUGACGGCCGUCGACAGGGCAGCCCGAUUUUCUGGAUUUGGCUUGAAGAUCUGGCCGACAUUCAAAUUGGGUUAGAGAGAGAAGUAGGAGAGAAACAGGGCUAGAGACACAGGGAAAUCGGAAAAGUGAAAGAAAAUAAAAAUCUGGUUUUUUAUAGUUUAAACAUACGACGUUGUUUUGAGGAUCGGGUCUUCUAAGUGUCUGCGUGUCGACCCGUUCCCGGAUCCGACCUAGUAGUUGCGUCCAUGACCCGCUUCCCUUGUGGAGCCGGUUGAGCCAAGCCAUCCUGCGAGCCGCCGAGCCGAGCAGUUAAUCCAUUAAGCUGAGCCGUGACAAUUUUUAGCUUUUUUUUUUUUUUAUAUAUAUAUAUUUUGUAUUUUAUUUGUUUAUUUGUGUAGGUCUCAUCUUAUAUGAGGUAAUAUCUGAUAUGGUUUCCGGUGGUAGAUGUUUCUGAAGCAAGUAAAAGUGAAAAUAUUUCUAUUAACAAGAAUGAUGAAAUCCCAAAGUUGAUAAGCACAUCAACUGCAGCUGGUUUCAAAACUGAUCGAGUUGAAGAUGAUACUGCCAUGGUAAAUUCAACUGAUGGGGAUCCGAGUGCUGUGUGUAAGUUACCAGUCUGUGGUGAAGAACAAACCACAUCUGGUUGUGUUACAAAACAACCUAUGAUGGCAUACAAUAAUGGAGUUAAUGAAGAUCUUAAGUCAUUACCCGUGCAGAAUUCUUAAGGACAAGGGAUUCAUUUAUCACCGAACAAUUUAAGUCCUAAGUUACGAGGUCAUAGCGUUGAAUUGCCGAGAACUAAUGAAUCCAAUUCUGAACAGAAUCUUCAGAACCUAGUCUUUAUGGAAAGAAAUGAAUCUGCUGGCCUCGAAUCUUUGGAUGGAAGCAGCGUCAAUGAAAUUGAAGGUGAAAAUCUAGUUGAUAGGCUGAAGCAGCAAGUUGAGUAUGAUCGGAUGUGCAUGAAUGCAUUAUAUGAGGAAUUAGAGGAAGAAAGAAGUGCUUCUGCAAUUGCAAUGGCUAUGAUUGCAAGGUUGUAAGAAGAGAAGGCAGCCUUCCACUAGGAGGCCCUGCAGUACCUAAUGAUGAUGGAAGAGCAAGCAGAAUACGGUGUAGAUGCCUUGGAGAAAGCUAAUGAUCUUCUGGCAGAAAAGGAGAAAGAACUACAAGAUCUGGAAGCAGAGCUUGAAUAUUACAGAUUAAACUUCCCAGAUGAAACAUUGGUAGAGACUGUACCUGAUGCAAGCAUCAACUUAAAGAAGGAAUAAGUUUCUGUGGAGAAAACUAGCACAUCCUCCAUAAAAGAUUAUUUAAAAUUUCCCUCGAAAACAAUGUUUCGUGAGGCUUCUGAAGUCAAUGAUAAUCCUGUAGUCAUAUCUGCAUGGUCGGAAAUUGAAGAUGAGAAGUUGUAAAUCUCUCAAUGUCUGCAAAAGUUGGAGAGGAAACUUAACAGGCUUGCUUAUCAUGGGACUUCGCCAUACAUUUCUGAUGGUGAAUACUUUGAUGAAGCAGCGGAUGGAGGCCAACAUCAGCUAGAGUUCCUUUAUAAAAAGGAUAAACAAGUAAUGUGUCAGGUGGAAGGUAAUAAUUUGUCUGUAAAGAAAGCUUCAUCAAUGUCUAAUGGAAGUGCUCCUUCUCAAGAAAGGUUGAGUACUUCAAUAAGCAGAGAUCAAGUGGUAAGUAAGGCAAACGGUCAUAUGGUUUCCAAUGAGCAGAAGGGUUCUAUGGAUUGUAGAGAAACUGGUUUGGCUGCUCUUGAACUGGAAUUUCAGACCUUAAUGAGAGGUUAGAAGCACUUGAGGCUGACUGUAAUUUUCUUGAGCAUUCUCUAUAUUCUCAUCAGAAUGGUAAUGAGGGGCCACUUUUUAUUCAAGAGAUACUUUAUCAGUUACGAGAAUUAAGGAAACUUGGGAUAAGGAGUAGGAACGUGUCUGUUUCAUGAGGUUUAUGUGCAUCAUUACAAAGGUAAGCAUGUUAAAGAUAUAUGGGUCCGAUUAAAAUUAAUUCCUUUAUAUGAGAUAUUAACAUAUAAAUGUUUCUACCAAAAAAUAGUCUUCUCUUGGUAGAGAUUGUGCACACCCAGUAUAAACUUGUUUGCAUGUCUUGAUUGACUUUUGCCUGAAAUUGCUUUUUUGUCUCUCAAUGAAUUAAUUAUGCUGCAUGUUUGUUUAAUUUCAUGUAAAUUGCUAUCAGCUCAAGCUGAUCAUUUAUUUUUGCUUCUGUAGAAACAAGUGCUAUAUAUGGUCAUGGAUCAGCAUAUAUAAUCAGGUUAACCAAGAAUAAUGCCAAAUAUGUGGAAUUUGAUUAUUGCGGGACUGAGAAUAGAAGAUAGGAAGCAGUUUAAAUAGGUAUCUGACAGAUGACUAGAAGUGACUGCCUCUUUAUCCGACUUACCAUCUGUAAGAAAGUAGGGUACUAGGAUUUGUAUUAUCAUGUCUGAAUGUGCUUCAGAUGUUCACAAUAUUUCCCGAGUCUGUUCUGACUUCUGAGAUUCUGCAAGUGAUUAUGUAACAAAAAUGACGUUACUAGCAUUGAUCACAUUACUCCUCCCUCAAGUUGUUGAAUUCUUUAAUGACAGUUUCAUGCCUCCUGUACUCAUCAUUCCCUCUCUGUGUGUGUGUGUGUGUAUAUAUAUAUAUAUUUCAUAUACAUCCCAUUCCCAGAUUGAGCUAGCCCGAAAGCAAAGCAAAGUAUAUCAGCAUGAAAUGUGAUAUAAAGACGGCAGGAGUCAAACUAGUAUCUCUCAGCUUACCACGAAAUUGUGAAUUAUGAAGAUCAUGUUUUACAUGCUAGGCAUCACCUCAUAUGAUCAGGUAUGGGAGUAAAACCGUAAAAUGUAAUUGCUUCAUUGUUCCUUUUCUCUCUUGGUGGGUUUUAUUUAUUUUUAUUGGUAGGCACUUGGCAGUUGUUACAUUUAUGGUAAUUUUUUGGAGCACUGUGCGACUAUAUUGUAAAGUGGGUGAUUCUUUUAGUCUUAUUUACUUCCAGAUUUCUUUUGAGUUUGUUCACACAACAGUAGAAAAUCAACAGAUUUGUUUGAAGAAUUCAAGCAAAAGCUCAUUUAGAUCUAAUGUGCAAACAGUCAUUCAGAACUUUUUUAGAAAUGUAAAAAACUAAUUAUGAAAAAAAUUUAACUUUUUUAUUUCCUUUCUCUUUAAAAAAGAUGAUCUAUUUGAUUAUUUUACAAAAUUUUUUGAUGCAUAAAAUUCAUAAUAUUAUUAUAAUUGUAGAGUAUACUAAUUUAUAUCACUACAUAUAAUAAUAUAAAAGAUUAUUUUUGAUUCCAAACGUAACAACAGAAAAGAAAAAAAUAAUCACCAAAAAAUAUGGGAGAUUUUAGAAAACCAUAUUUAUAUUAGAGAAGAUUUUCUUACAAGUCACUUCUUUGAGAAAGUUGAACGAUCUCUACCUUCUUCAAGAAGGAAUUAUAAAUUUAUACAUAAAGAAAAAUAAUUAAAUAAGACCUACAAUAAUUAUAACGGGUUCAUAAUUUAUCAUAAAAAAAUCGAUUAAACUUAAAUAAUUGACUUGACUUAAAAUAAUUUUAAUAAAAUAAAAAUAAAAUUAUUUUUAUCAAAAUAAUUUUAAUAAAAUAAAUUUAAUUGACUUAACACAAAAUAUGAAAUUGACAAAAUAUAAAUAUAAAAUAAUUUUAUAUAUGUUUCAUUUCGUGAUCUAAUGAUCAUAAAAACUUUUAAAAAAACAUAAAAAUUUAGUUUCGAAUUAAAUAUCUCCUCACCCUUUUAUAAUAAAAUUUUAUUUUUUUUGAAAUAAAAAAAAUUGAUAAAUAUAAAAUAAACAUAAAAUUGAUGUUGAUAAAAAUAAAAUUUGAAUUGAUGUGUUAAUAUCAAAUUUUGUUUGAUAAUCUUUGAAACAAUUUGUAAAACAUCUUAAAAUUAUCACAUAUAUUUAAACGAAUAAAAAAUUUUUGACUUCAUCAUAAUGAUUGAAUUUUUUACUGAAAUAUCAUUACUCGAAGGAGCGUUGAUUAUGUUCUGAAGAGAGGUUCAAAUGAUCGGAAAAGGUUGUAUUAUUUUUUGGUCAAGUGUUACCGUACCAUUUUGUUCCUGAUAAAGAUGAGCAAAGGGAACAUAAAUAUUUCAUUUUGCCAGUUUUAGCACUGUAUCUCCAUUCCCCUGUUUAAGAAAAUUUGAUGUUACUGAUUUUUGGCAGUUUGAUGACGUGACGUCUCUGCUUGCUUUCUGUCAUCAAUGUCCUCUCUCACCCGGCUUGAUGGUAAGCAUGCAGAAGAAACAGUGAGAUGGGAAUUGAAGGAAAAGAUGAUUUUUGAUUUGUUCACGCAUACGCCUUGAGACGUAGUGUUGUCUUUAAAAAGGCUGAACCUUUAGCAAUAAUUAAUAAGGAUAAUAUCUUAUAAGAUUCUUAAAUUAUUUUAAUUUGUUAAAUUUAAUAUUUAAAUUAAAAAAUUAUUAAAUAAAUAUUUAAAAUUAUAUAUCAAUUUAAUUCAAAAAUUAAUUCAUUAGUCGAGUUAUUAAAUUGAUUAUUUUAAGCAAUAAAAAUCCGUCCACUAGACACAAAAUAACAUAUCAUGUUUACGCGGAUUGCUUAUAUGGACACAAAAUGUUCGACGUCGUUUCAAGAGAGUUGCUCUUCUUAGUGUUGUUACCCUCUCCAACAAACGCACACAACCUCACAGCUCGUUCAAUCAAACCACUAUUAGAAGGAAAAUGAAAACUGCCUUUGAAAUCUUCAACGUUCGGAGCUGGAGCUACGAUCAGCUUAGCCUACUCGGGAGAGUGUAAAAGCAGAACGGCUUGUUAAGCCGGGAGUUCUAGCAAAGCCGUGAAGGAACCUGCCUUUGAAACUUUCAACUUCAUCCCUUUCUGACGCCGUUCCAUUAAAUCUGGUUUCCUUCGUCCUUGCUUUUGGCUUCAUGGGGAAAAAAGAAAAACCAACCAAUUUCGAAAUUCUAAAAGAUACCCACUUCAAUUCGUUGAAAAUAAAAAGUACCCAAUUGGUUAAUUCAUCCCAGUUUUGAGUCUAACUGCUUCGAAAACUCUUCAGAGAAACUUCGGUUAAUUUCUUUAACGGCGGUCAGGUCGGUCAAGCUUAGAAAAAUGAGUUAAUGUUUUGAGAGAGAGACAGAUAGAGACUUUGUUGCUCCGGAAAAGAGAUUACUUCUCAUAAGCAAUCCAGAGCAACUCUUCUGGCCUAAUAAGCAAUUCAUGUAAGUAUAAAAUAUCAUUUUGUGUUAAUAUCAUCUUGCGUUCAUAUCAAGGAUUUUUAUUGAUUAAAAUAAUCAAGUUAAAAAUUUAAUUAAUAGAAUUAAUUUUUAAACCAAAUUAAUAUACGAUUUUAAAAUUUAAAUAUUUUUUUAAUAAUUUUUUUAAUUUAAAUAUCAAAUUUAAUAAAUUAUAAUAAUUCGGGAACUAUAUAAGAUAUUAACCAUAAUUAAUAUAAUAGUCCAACUGGAUGGUCGCAUCUGUGGCAGUGGUGCCCUACAGAAAAUGGGCUACUAAGGAAAAAAGCUUCCAAAAAAAAUUAAAUAUAUAUAUAUAUAUAUUUUCAAUGGAAAUGAAGUUCCAGAAAAAAAAAAUUUUUAGUUGUUUGGUAAUUUCAUUGGAACUUGUUUUUCUUUGUUUGGUAUUCAAUAAAAAAUAUAAAAAUUUUCCGUAACUUCGUAUCUAAUAUUUCACAAUCUAGAUUAUACUUUUUUUUCACUAAAAAAAUCUGAAACUAACAAAAACAAACGGGCGAAGUAAAGCAGAUUUUUUUGGUUUUGGGUGCAUUGAAGAACCAACCAAUGGAUCUGAAACCUACCCAACUUGUUCUUCAAUAUUCUCCUUUGUUUCUAGGUUUGUCACACCUACCUAACUUUCAAUGGAUCUGACACCCAAGCAAGAAACUUGCCAAUUCAACGUCAGCUACCCAUCAAAACCGAUAUACUUUGCAAUCAAUGUCCCCAUCCACGAUGUCAACUCCAACAGAGCCGUUACGAAGGUGAGCAAGAAAGAUUUCGUCUCAAUCUCGAUGGCUUCGCAAAGGAGAUGGAUGUCAAGAAAUUCGGGGGAAGCCGUUUUGACGAUGGGGGAGAAAGUUGUGGUUAGUUGUUUGGGAGGGGGGGGGGGGGUUCUGGGUUGAGGUCUUGGGUUCAUGACUUCUUCAAGGGUAGAAGAUUUGGAGUUGAUCUGUUAUCAAAAUUGUCUUCCGCUCAAAAAAAAUGGAAGACAAUUUUCGUGCUUUAUAUUACAUUUUUCGUUGAUUAGAAGUUAUUUUUUGUUGAUCAUAUCAUUCAAACAAUGAAAAACGAAAAAAUAGAUUUUCGGAAAUCAUUUUCACGCCUACUAAAUGGAGCCCUAAAUUGUUAAAUCUUUUAUUAACCAAUUUGAUAAGUUUAAGAGUCGAUGGUCUAAUUGAGACAAGGAUAAAAUUUGGACCAGGAUUGAUUACUUGCAGCGUCUGUCGCUGAUCCAUCAUGUUGCUCCUUAUCUUUUGAUUUUUUUAUUAAAAAUAAAAAAUAUGCUUGAAUUAUAAUAAUAAUAAUAUAAAAUUUUAAUAUUUUAUUAUAAUUAAUUAAAAUUUUAUUAUUAUUUUAAUUUAAUUAUAUUUUUAAUUGAAUGAAAUUUAAUCAUACUGUAAGAUUGAAUCAAUUUAUUUUUGAAUUAUAAUUAAUUAAAUCUUUAUAAAAAUAUUAAAAAGAGACAAAAAAUAGAUUAAAAAGGAAAAAUUAUUUUUUUAAUUUUCAUUUAUUAAUUAUAUUAUGUGACAAAUUUUAAUUAAUGUCAUAUAAAUUUUUUUUAAUUAAAAAAAUUUAUGAUGUUAAUUUUUUAUUCAAAUAAAUACUAAUUAAAUACAAAUAAAUAUUAAAUUAAUUAAUUGAUCAUAAAAAAAUUAAUUAAAUAUAAUUAAAUAUAAAUAAAUAUUAAAAUUAAUUGAUUACCAUAAAAAAUAAAUAAUUGGAUAUGAUUAAGAGCUUUUUACACCCUUUAUUUUAAUUUUUUUAGAGUCCUAUACCUUUCGUUCAUGUGAGAACUUUAUCUUGAUUUCUCUAUAGUAUUUCGUCAUCCCUUACCCUUCUCCUGCAAAUAAAAAAUAAAAGUUAGAAAGAGUCUGAACUUAAGUAGCUUAGUAAUGGUUCUAGAAAUUAAAUACUUCUCUUCCAGGCAAAUCUGUCUUUGACAACUAUUGCUCCCAAAUUCAUGAUAGAAGAUAAACUUUUACAAUAGCUUAUUAGAUAUAGAAGGAUGUUUAUUCAGUUAUUGAGCUCGAUAUUGUUCCUCCUCACUCUCCCAUUUUUCUUCUUAAUCACCACCAAAGCCUCCAAAUCCAAGAAACCAUCGACAGCCCCAUGUCCAUCCACUGUUUUCCCGAAGUCUUAUCCAAUAAUCGGCUCCUACUUCGCCAUCAAAUCCAAUCGAAGCAAUCGCUUGCAGUGGACUACACGUAUCCUCCAGAGCUCUCCCUCUGCAACUUUCACUCUCCACCACUUGUUCGGUUUUCGCCAGAUCUUUACUGCAAACCCUGCCAACGUCCAGCACAUGCUCAAGACCCACUUCUUCAACUACCAAAAAGGCCCUCAUUUUACAAGCAGUCUCUUCGAUUUUCUUGGUAACGGCAUCUUUAACGUUGAUGGGGGGUCUUGGAAGUUCCAGAGACAAGUUUCUAGUCACGAGUUCAACACCAAAUCUCUUCGUAAAUUUGUACAAACUGUUGUUGAUACCGAGCUUCAUGACCGUUUGAUUCCGAUGUUUUCUGCUGCUGCAUCUGACCAGACCGUGCUUGACUUGCAAGAUAUUCUUCAAAGGUUCGCUUUUGACAACAUUUGCAAGAUCGCUUUUGGGUUUGACCCUGCCUGUCUCUUGCCUUCUUUACCGCAGGCACAGUUUGCAGAAGCUUUUG
rnacentral:lncRNA from 1 species